GAUGAACGCUGACAGAAUGCUUAACACAUGCAAGUCAACUUGAACUUCGGUUUGGGUGGCGGACGGGUGAGUAACGCGUAAAGAACUUGCCUCACAGCUAGGGACAACAUUUGGAAACGAAUGCUAAUACCUGAUAUUAUGAUUUUAGGGCAUCCUAGAAUUAUGAAAGCUAUAUGCGCUGUGAGAGAGCUUUGCGUCCCAUUAGCUGGUUGGAGAGGUAACGGCUCACCAAGGCGAUGAUGGGUAGCCGGCCUGAGAGGGUGAACGGCCACAAGGGGACUGAGACACGGCCCUUACUCCUACGGGAGGCAGCAGUGGGGAAUAUUGGACAAUGGACCAAGAGUCUGAUCCAGCAAUUCUGUGUGCACGAUGAAGUUUUUCGGAAUGUAAAGUGCUUUCAGUUGGGAAGAAAAAAAUGACGGUACCAACAGAAGAAGUGACGGCUAAAUACGUG
rnacentral:rRNA from 1 species